AAAGAACUCGAUUAAGUAGAUCAAAUAAUCUUCAAAAUUAUUAGUGUUGGUUCAAAUCCAACGUUCUUUG
rnacentral:tRNA from 1 species